GGGCUCUUAGCUCAGCCUGGCCAGAGCAAUCGCCUCUUAAGCGAUAGGUCGGGGGUUCGAAUCCCCUAGGGCCCG
rnacentral:tRNA from 1 species